ACGGGUGCUUGCACCUGGUGGCGAGUGGCGAACGGGUGAGUAACAUAUCGGAACGUGCCCAGUAAUGGGGGAUAACUAGUCGAAAGAUUAGCUAAUACCGCAUACGCCCUGAGGGGGAAAGCGGGGGACCGUAAGGCCUCGCGUUAUUGGAGCGGCCGAUAUCUGAUUAGCUAGUUGGUGGGGUAAAGGCCUACCAAGGCGACGAUCAGUAGCUGGUCUGAGAGGAUGAUCAGCCACACUGGAACUGAGACACGGUCCAGACUCCUACGGGAGGCAGCAGUGGGGAAUUUUGGACAAUGGGCGCAAGCCUGAUCCAGCCAUUCCGCGUGAGUGAAGAAGGCCUUCGGGUUGUAAAGCUCUUUCGCAAGGGAAGAAAACUUACCUUUUAAUAGAGGGUGAGGUUGACGGUACCUUGAUAAGAAGCACCGGCUAACUACGUGCCAGCAGCCGCGGUAAUACGUAGGGUGCGAGCGUUAAUCGGAAUUACUGGGCGUAAGCGUGCGCAGGCGGUUUUGUAAGUCAGAUGUGAAAGCCCCGGGCUCAACCUGGGAACUGCGUUUGAAACUACAAGGCUAGAGUAUGGGAGAGGGGGGUAGAAUUCCACGUGUAGCAGUGAAAUGCGUAGAGAUGUGGAGGAAUACCAAUGGCGAAGGCAGCCCCCUGGCCUAAUACUGACGCUCAUGCACGAAAGCGUGGGGAGCAAACAGGAU
rnacentral:rRNA from 1 species